AUCAGCAUGGUAUAGUGGUUUGAACAUUGGACUGCAACUCUAAAGAUCUGGGUUCAUUUCCUUGCUCAGA